AACAACUUUGAAUGGAGUCGUUCGAAAAGAAGUUUCUAUGGCCCCCUUGCUCAUUUAACACUGCAUCCGGGUGCCGAUGGAGAUACAGCGACCCUUGCUCACUUAUCACUGUGCUCGGGCCACACAACGUGCCACUUACGGAUGACGCCUUAGCUUUAGCGCGAUUUCGUUCUGUAUUCAUUUUCAUAAGGAUUCGACGUAAUCAUGGAGUGCCGGCUGUCGACUACCUGACGCCCUCCCCCUCCUCCUUUAUCCGGGCUUGGGACCGGCAAUGUAAGAUAAACUUACACAGGCAGAGUUUGGCUUUUAGAGUAUCCACUUGACAAUUUUUGUUUCAUUUAUGUUGUGUAUACGGUGGAUCUCCCUACGGGGCUCAAGAAAGUAAGCUAAGGAGAGGGGUGGAUAUUGUUAUUGGAACGCCUAGCCGUAUACAGGUAUUGACUAUUUCUCAUUAUAGCUGAGUUCUUGUGUCAGUUCGAUACUAUGCAAUAUACUUAUGAAGCUAAAUAAAUUUUUGGAAAUAUGUAGGAUCAUAUAGAGAGGAGCAAUAUUGACUCGAGUACCGUGAAAGUUAGGAUCCUUGACGAAGCUGAUGAAAUGCUGUGGAUGGGCUUUGUUGAUGAUAUUGAACUCAUUCUAGGUGAAGGAUGUUAGAAAAGUUCAAACGCUUCUCUUCAGUGCAACCUUGCCAAGUUGGCUGAAAGGUAUUUCUUUUAGGUUUCUCAAACCAGAUAAGAAAACUGUAGAUCUUGUUGGUAAUGAAAAAAUGAAGGCCAG